CAGUCCUGACACAGAGCUGUGUGUGUUUAAGUGACUGCCUACAUGCUUGAGGAGCCAGGAAAGGGAAAAGGAAGGAGAAAUACACAGCAGAAAUCCUGGGAAAUAUUUCUUGCAUGGCUGGUUGAGUCUGGAGGAUGCUGCGCCCAUCUGGAGGGAAUUUUGCUAUCUAGGCUGUUGUGCUUAGGGCUCCAUUGAAAGCACGUGUGGAGGAGCAGGUGUAGAGAGAAGGCCCAUGAGCCAGGAUUUGCUCACAGGGAAGGGGUGAGGGCAAGUCCAAGGCUCACCUGGAAAUAUCAGAUGUUUUUCCAUAACCCACCAAUUCAAUACAGCCCAGGAUGCCACUGCACAUGGUAGGUGGUUGCUUUUUACCUGGGGAUCCACAGUCAGGCGUGGCAUAGAGGAUGCCCUCCCCGAUCCCGCAUGCUCCUGGGUGUCCGGAGGAAGGUAGAUGCCAUGGUUAGAGGGCUGGACGCUUUUUAAUUCACUAAACUCUGGCUCCUGGAAAUAAACACAGCCAAGCUUGUGGGACUUGGUUCCAUCUCAUUGUUUCUCAUUUCCAGUGGCUGAUCCUGCCUCCUCCACACCAAGAAUGGCUUUUAGAAGAGAGACUUGCAUCUUUAAGGCAAUAACCACUUGAGCUGUAAUUCUAAUCUCGGCGGGAAUUUCAUGGCUGCUGAGCUAAGAAUAAUGAGCCUGCUCCUCCUGGAACUGUCCGUCAUCGGCUGAGUCCAUACACGCCAGCUGGAAUAUUUCCUGGGGGGAGAGCGGACUCAUCGAAGGGUACCCACUCCGGCCACUCCUGAAAAGCAAUGCCACGUUCAGAGGUAAUGAGUGCAUGAGCGAGAAACAGACAUGCCGUCGCCGCCACUACCAAGUCCCAGGCCCGGCAACACCCUUUACCAAUACUCUUGGUGGGCUUUUAGCUUAUAGGUGCCUGGGCCUAGAAUAGAAACUCUUAAAAAAACAAGCAAACUACAAACACACACUGGAAAAGAGAAAGCACUGUUUUCAACCUGCAUUUGGAACCCUUCCUCACUCGGCUGGUGACUCACAUAUCUGUGAUGAAUGACAUCAUUUGUCACACUCAGCCAUAUGGAAGACCAAUGCUGGAUUGUAAACCGGUUUCGGCUCGGUUUCUCCAUUAGGCGGAAAAAUGCCAUACUUUAAACAGUGAACAGUCUGUUUAAAUAUUAAGCAGUUGUGGUCUUUUAAAAAAAAUUCCUCCACGCUCAGUAAGAACAUGGCUUUAUUGUGCCAACAUCCCUGGCCAAACCAAACAAUUCAGUGCCAGACACUGUGUCUGUUGGUUCCUGAGCUCGGUGGAAGGAUUCCAGAGGGUGGGGAGGAGGUGACCUUGCCUGGGUUGAUGGCUCUGUGGAAGGACGCUUAAAUGGUGAUGUGAGAGAACACGACAAAGUCAGCCAAGUACUUAGAGGCUCUGAGUGAAGGGUAUGGAAAGCUGCCUGUUACUAAAAAAUGUUUGGUCCCUGUAGAUACUCUUAGCCAAUGUGAUCCACGGGGCUGAGUCAGGAGAGUCAGUCAAUUGUCCUAAAAUUUUGGCUGCUGCUGCCAUAGAUACCCUUUGACCUGCUCAAGAGUGAACUUCCUGAUCCUGGGAGGAGGGACAGCGAGCGGUCAGUGACUGGGCAGCUAGGAGAGAGAGAUGAAGACCGUCAUCUCGUAAUUGUGCCUACUGUUAAUGGCUCCGAGCCCUGAGCAAGGGCUGCCAGUUGCUUCAAAAUAUUCCAUAGGUGCAAGUUACUGGGAUCACAGGAUAAGGGAUGAAGAGCAGCAUUUUCACAACUGCUACAGAGCAUCUGCUAUUCAAUGACUUAAUGUCCAUCGUCUUCUCCUGAGAACCGCUAGGAACAAGAGCACAGCAAUCACCGAAGCCUCCAUUACCUCUCAAGUCUGACCUUCUCUCCACAGUCAUUACUAAUUUACACCUUUGCAGUCACUUACUAAGUGGUGUCCUGUCUCUUGAACUGCUCUCCUCCAAUCCUCUGAAUCCAUGCUGGAACCACGAAGGAUCUUUGUAAAGUGCAAAUCGGAUCAUGUCACUCGGAGGAAUUAUCCUUGGAUGAAACUGAACUUCUGGGUCCUGCUUGUGUGGCUCCUACUUCCUGGCCCUUGUCGCUCUCCAAGCUCAAAACCUGCCACCUCCAUGAACUGUGCUCCACCUAACAGGUUGCAUUCUUUAAAUUGACCACAUCUCGCCUCUCCUCUCUUGAAGAGCUGGCCUUCGAGUCUCACUUACCUGUUGCUUCUCAGGGAGGCCUCCUCCACCCUCAAAGUAGGCAGCCGCCUCCUUUAUUUGCACAGCAUCACAAUAACUUGCCUUCUGCAUUUUAACCGUUAUCUUUCAUUUCUUUCUCAGGAUCUGUCUCUACAGGGACUGUGAUCAUAUUGACUGCCACAUCCCCAGUGCCUAAGCCAGCUUUGGAGUCACAUAAAUAUUGGUUAAAUCAAUGAGGAAGAGAAGACAGAGUGAUCCUAUGAUGGGAGGUAAUUUGUACAGUGAAUUGCUGUGGAUAAGACAGAUUGAAUUGUGUGUGGCGGGGUCCCCUCCAUUUCUAAGCCAAGAACCCUUGGAAAACACUAAAUCCUUCCAAUGAGGUGGUCUCACUCUGCCAUCUUACCUCCUUCCUGCACAGAUCAAAGAGCAACAUCUGCUUGUUUUCUGCAGACAGGAGAAUCCACACCCUGCUACCUCAUCAUAUCAAAUGUUUGCUAAAACAAUUCAUGGCCUUGGUCAGAAUCUGGGCCUUUUUUUCCAAAUGCGUUGAGUUGUGACCUCUGAAAAUGAUGCUUUUCAAAACCAGGUCCCCAAUACCAGAGGCAGAAAGAAAUUAACGGCGUGAGAGGUUCUAAAUGGCAUUCUGACAGAGGUUGUGUAGUGAUUACGGAUUUCUUAAGAAGCAGGACUGGAGUAAAUCCAAUCACGAAAGCUCAUUUACACUUCAUGCCCUUUGCUACUUCAGUACAUGCUUGAUAGAAAGAUAAUGUUCCCAUAAGAUGUGUAUGACCAAAUUGGCGCCAAGGUUUACAACUCAAAAGAGCUGGCAGAUUCCUUAAUUGAGUUUUGUCUCCAUUGCCAAUACAGAAAAUAAAGAAUUUUUUUUUUUGCCUGA